rnacentral:rRNA from 1 species
UUGCCCUAGUAACGGCGAGUGAAGCGGCAACAGCUCAAAUUUGAAAUCUGGCUUCGGCCCGAGUUGUAAUUUGCAGAGGAUGCUUCUGGCGCGGUGCCUUCCGAGUUCCCUGGAACGGGACGCCACAGAGGGUGAGAGCCCCGUAUGGUCGGACACCAAGCCUGUGUGAAGCUCCUUCGACGAGUCGAGUAGUUUGGGAAUGCUGCUCUAAAUGGGAGGUAAAUCUCUUCUAAAGCUAAAUACCGGCCAGAGACCGAUAGCGCACAAGUAGAGUGAUCGAAAGAUGAAAAGCACCUUGAAAAGGGGGUUAAAUAGUACGUGAAAUUGUUGAAAGGGAAGCACUUAUGACCAGACUUGGGCCGGGCGGCUCAUCAGGGGUUCUCCCCUGUGCACUCCGCCCGGCACAGGCCAGCAUCGGUUCUCGUGGGGGGAUAAGACCGUCAGGAACGUAGCACCCUCCGGGGUGUGUUAUAGCCUGGCGGACGAUGCCCUCGUGGGGACCGAGGUUCGCGCUCCGCAAGGAUGCUGGCGUAAUGGUCAUCAGUGACCCGUCUUGAAACACGGACCAAGGAGUCGUCCAUUAGAGCGAGCGUUUGGGUGUAAAACCCGCACGCGUAAUGAAAGUGAACGCAGGUGAGAGCUUCGGCGCAUCAUCGACCGAUCCUGAUGUUCUCGGAAGGAUUUGAGUAAGAGUUUUAACGGACGGACCCGAAAGACAGUGAACUAUGCUUGUAUAGGGUGAAGCCAGAGGAAACUCUGGUGGAGGCUCGCAGCGGUUCUGACGUGCAAAUCGAUCGUCAAAU